rnacentral:rRNA from 1 species
UUAAGAAUCUUGCGCAAUGGGCGAAAGCCUGACGCAGCGACGCCGCGUGGACGAUGAAGGCCUUCGGGUUGUAAAGUCCAUUAAGCAGGGAAGAAUAAGUUUCGUCUAAUACGCGAAACGAUGACGGUACCUGUCUAAAGCCCCGGCUAACUACGUGCCAGCAGCCGCGGUAAUACGUAUGGGGCAAGCGUUGUUCGGAAUUAUUGGGCGUAAAGGGCGUCUAGGCGGGGAGUUAAGUUAGAUGUGAAAGCCAUGGGCUCAACCCAUGAAUUGCACCUAAAACUGAUUCUCUUGAGUUCGGGAGAGGAGAGCGGAAUUCCCGGUGUAGCGGUGAAAUGCGUAGAUAUCGGGAAGAACACCAGUGGCGAAGGCGGCUCUCUGGCCCAGAACUGACGCUGAAGCGCGAAAGCGUGGGGAGCGAACGGG